rnacentral:rRNA from 2 species
AGAGUUUGAUCCUGGCUCAGGACGAACGCUGGCGGCGUGCCUAAUACAUGCAAGUCGAACGCGUCUUGGUUAUCGAAGGGAAGUGCUUGCAUUUCCUUGACUUAACAUUGAGACGAGUGGCGAACUGGUGAGUAACACGUGGGUAACCUGCCCUUGAAGUAGGGGAUAACACUUGGAAACAGGUGCUAAUACCGUAUAACAACCAAAACCCCAUGGUUUUGGUUUAAAAGAUGGCUUCGGCUAUCACUUUAGGAUGGACCCGCGGCGUAUUAGCUUGUUGGUGAGGUAACGGCUCACCAAGGCAAUGAUACGUAGCCGACCUGAGAGGGUAAUCGGCCACAUUGGGACUGAGACACGGCCCAAACUCCUACGGGAGGCAGCAGUAGGGAAUCUUCCACAAUGGACGAAAGUCUGAUGGAGCAACGCCGCGUGAGUGAUGAAGGGUUUCGGCUCGUAAAACUCUGUUGUUGGAGAAGAACGGGUGUGAGAGUAACUGUUCACAUCGUGACGGUAUCCAACCAGAAAGCCACGGCUAACUACGUGCCAGCAGCCGCGGUAAUACGUAGGUGGCAAGCGUUGUCCGGAUUUAUUGGGCGUAAAGCGAGCGCAGGCGGUUUUUUAGGUCUGAUGUGAAAGCCUUCGGCUUAACCGGAGAAGUGCAUCGGAAACCGGGAGACUUGAGUGCAGAAGAGGACAGUGGAACUCCAUGUGUAGCGGUGAAAUGCGUAGAUAUAUGGAAGAACACCAGUGGCGAAGGCGGCUGUCUGGUCUGUAACUGACGCUGAGGCUCGAAAGCAUGGGUAGCGAACAGGAUUAGAUACCCUGGUAGUCCAUGCCGUAAACGAUGAGUGCUAAGUGUUGGAGGGUUUCCGCCCUUCAGUGCUGCAGCUAACGCAUUAAGCACUCCGCCUGGGGAGUACGACCGCAAGGUUGAAACUCAAAGGAAUUGACGGGGGCCCGCACAAGCGGUGGAGCAUGUGGUUUAAUUCGAUGCUACGCGAAAACCUUACCAGGUCUUGACAUCUUCUGCCAACCUAAGAGAUUAGGCGUUCCCUUCGGGGACAGAAUGACAGGUGGUGCAUGGUUGUCGUCAGCUCGUGUCGUGAGAUGUUGGGUUAAGUCCCGCAACGAGCGCAACCCUUAUUGUUAGUUGCCAGCAUU